AGCUUGAGUCGAGGAGGACAGACAGGCAGUUGCCCAGGCAACCUUAGCCCGCCCCCUGUGCACUUCCCUGCCGGAAUUGGGAAAUAUCAAACUUCGGUGGAAGGCUUAUUUUCCUGUCACCCGUCUAUUACGAGUCCUGAUUUUAUUCGCUGGACGACCAGUCACCACCGAUGUACUACUUGUUAACAGAGUGGCAGCACAGCUUGGCGGUGAUGCAACUUUCAACAUUGAUGGUGCCAUGAACAGUCAAUGCAAGACCAAUUAUGGAAGGGUGGUGGACUGCUGGGAUAAGAAGACAAUGGAGGAAAUUGGGCCAGAAUUUCAGGACCGGAUCAGUGGUUCGUGUGACCACAUCAAAUUGAAAGGUGUACAAAAAUAAGAUUUACGUCACAUGUUUAUAUGUCAGGAUCUGGACUCUCAGAACCCUGCAUCAUACACCUACAGCAUUAAAAGUAAGGAUGAUGAACCAGUUUAGGUUCAGUUUUAGAGCUUUUUGCAGUUAGUAGAAUACUCAAGAUUGUUGUGAUUUCGAAUGCCCAGACUGAAAGUCUUCACAUCUGGGUUAAGAAAUGAAUGAAGAAAGCACUGUCUAGACACGCACCACACCCUGAAGCAUAGUGUUGAUGUAUCUCUUCACAGAUGUAAUUUCAGCAUCUUCCAUGUAAUACGGCUUCCCUCUAUCUGCCUCCACACAUUUGUGUGUGAUCAUUCCAGAGCCUCCUCUAAGUGGGGGAGCAGUUUAUACAUAUUUUAGAAUUGUGGCUAUUAUCUGUUUUGGUCAUUUCAACAUUUUCUCUGUAAGUAAAAGUGUUUACAAUGAG